AUUUACUAUAUUGAUUUGUUAAUACUGAACUCACAAGACAACAGCACUAUAAUGCCUGAAGGAAGCUUCUCUUUCACAUGUAUUUUUUCCUAAGGUACAUCACAGCCCUCUUGUACUUAGGAACACUAGACAGCACCUUAGCACUAUACUUGGGACCAUUUUAAACAGCAAAAAUCAACAAAAAGCACAAAAAUGCUAAAACAGCACUAAAUAUAUUGUGAAAGGAUGCUUUUUAUGGUAGAAGAGCUAAAACAAGAAGGUAUGGCAUUGCUUUGUUCAACCUCAGCUGGUCACAUGCACCUUGGGCAACUUGAAAUUUGCUCUGCUCUGCACAUGUGUACAAAUGACUGGGGAAAGUGCUACAAGUAUUGAUUUGGGUUACAAAUAAAUUGUAGUGAGUAGGUGAAUUUACAAAUAUGAAAUCCAUUAGUAAUGAGGUUAAACUGUAUAUAAAAUCUAGGCAAGCCAAUCAAACAUAAAGGCAUAAGAAAGAACAAAAAAUAGGAUAAGGAAGAAAAUGUAAUCAUAGAACACUGCUUAUCUCUGUUUGGACAAUAUGGCAUAGUCAUAAAAAUGUGAUCACUGAAAAUAAAUUAACAAAAAAUUGAUAGAAACUAUGUUAGUAGGAUCAUGGAAGGGUAAGUGAGAGGGGGUAUAAAAACACCAAAUUUCCAUCUCCCAUAAUAGAAAAAAAGCAGAAGGAAGUACCUAAAAUUGUCAAUCUUACUGCAUAAGCAUAGUGCAGUAUUUAGAAAUAGGUAGGUAGAUACAAAAAGAAUCAGCUCAAAGUGAUUUCUCUGAGGAUCAGAGGCUAAAAUGAAGUAGGAAAUAGUGUUGCCAGAAAAAGAGGUCCCAAUCCAGACCUUAAGAGAGAACUCUUGGGUCUAAGCAGGAAGGAAUUCAAGGCGAGUUGCAGAGUACAGUGAGAAGAGAGUUUAUUGAAAGCUACCCAGAUACAGAGUAGGGUGUCCUCAGAAACGAAAUGGAGGAAUGUGCCUUCUUUGUUUUAAACUGUUCUUGUAUAGGAGUCUUAUCUAUGUAAAAACUAUUACGUCUAUGUGGGGGUAGGCUGACAGCGUGACAAAAUUUAGUACUUUGUUUUUAAAAAGUUUUCUGUGGCAUUUUAGUGCAUAAGUACAUCAAAGCAUGACUAUAUCGUAAAAGUAUACAUUGUUAUGUGAUACCGGGACAUCUGGACAUUCUGCCAUCAUAGGAGUUUAUCCUUGCAAGCAUUACUAAACUGCUUCCUUAGCCAAAAACAUGUUAUGACUGUGCAUUGUGACUGGCCAGGAAUGUGCCUUGCUGGUUUUACGAUGGAGUUGAUUUAAAAAUAGUAUUACCGUAGCUCUCCUAUGCUCCUGUUUACUUAACAAUAAUGUGACUAGCCAGAAUCUUAACCUGGGUCAGAUGUCCCAGAAUGAAAGCAUACAUAGCUGGAUGACUCGUUCAGACCUCAGAGCUGGUACAUGUUAGAAAUGUGUUCAUUGUAGAAGCUGAAAGAAAAGUCCCAAUGGUUGAUUCUAUGGGCCCCUUGGUGAGGAACAGCUUUCUCACAGCAUGUGACAUAAUUCUGUGGCACAGCACGAUCUGUCAGUCCUGUCCUCGAAAUCUAAUACAGCUGAGUAUUUUUCCCUCUGAGGACAAUUUACACAUUUUAUUUAUACUUUACUGUUAGUGUAAAAAGGUUGAUUUAAGACAAAGUUGAUAUCCUGUCAUAUUAUUCAUAGCAUGUUUAUCCUAUUGAUGGUUGCGGAAGCAGCACAGAUUCUUUGGCCAUUAUUAGCAGUCUUCACUCUUGAAAUACAACUUUGACAAUAUAUUAAUUAUGCCACUUUGCUAACACUGAUGUUUUGGUUACCUAUUGCCAUUUUACCUAACAACAACCAUUUUAUUUGCUCACAAUUGUGAAAUCUGGGCUAGGCUGAGCUGAGCUGCUUGGUUCUGCUCGUCUUGCCAGUGUGCAUUCCUGUGAUUGCAUUAAGGAACAAGCUGGGCUGUGCUUUUUCUCUCUCCAUGUAGUUUCAGGACUUCUCCCUCUUCACAUAGUUUCUACAUGGCAUUUCCAGCAGAAUUCCUGGAUUCUUCCUGAGUUGCUCAGGGAUCCUAAGAGCUCAAGAGUAGAAACUUCCAGCCCUUCAUGAAAUUUCAGUGCAAACUAUCACUUCUGCCAUAUUCUAUUAAGGAAGAAGAGUGACAGGACCACCCUAGAUUCACAGGAAGGGGACUACACAACGUUAUGAACACCAAGAGGCGGUUCACGGGGAGAUGCCAGUAGAGCCAGUGGUGUUCUGACAAAUUGACAGUUUUCCACUUUCCUAAGAAGAAGAAAUGGCCAAAUCCCAGGGAAUGAACAUAUGGAAGAAGAGCAACUAAAAGCUGUGAAUACACAAUUAAGAAUCAAAAGAGGAUAACCAAAAGGCCCGAUGGCAGUCUGAAACCCAGCGGCUGUAAGGUAGAUAUGGCUGACAAUCAAACCCUACUCAACAUAAAGUGUUGCAGAAUUGCCGCACCAAUUAAAUGCAUAUCCUGGUGACAGUGAAGGUAAGAGAACUGGUGAGAAUAUUACAUAAGGUAUUUGGGCAGACACUGAUGAAGCUGAGAAUUUGGGCACCCCAUUCUUUUGAAUCUCUCUUGCCAAUGAAAUGGUACUCCUUAUCCACUUGAAGGUAUCAGACCUUCUCUCCAUUAAAGCAUAUUCUUGACUACACCUUACAUUUGCCUUACAAGCUGAUACCAAUUCUCUUCAGCUCCCACCCCUACCACUUGUCAUUGGCUCCAGGGUCAUAAUGAGACUUAGAUCUGAAUAUAACCCUGACAGAAAAAAAUGCAAGCAUUCUUUGUUCCUACAGAAGGAAAUACCUGUUAUUUUAAGAGUUACAGGCUUGGCAAUUCUAUUAGCAAAAAGCCUGGAGAAUACAUGUGGGAGCAAAUUCUACGAUGGACCAAAUGUAAGUUACAUUUGGGUUGGAUUUAUUGUCUCAGAUGCAAACAUCUGAAACCUGGGAUUUAAUGAAAUCACCAGAAGAGUAACCUAUUCUGUUAAUUCUGGCAUUCAAUGGAAACACCAGAAAGAGCAACCUAUUCUGGUAAGUUGGCUAAUUAAAGCCUAGAGUCAAAUUUGACCUACAGCUAAUAACAAAACUUCUCUGACAUACCAUAGAGAGAAGAAUCCAAAGGUCCAGGGUGAUAGAAUAUUGGAAUCAGUUUAGUACUCUCUUCACCAAAGAUUUAAAGAUAUUUUGAAAAAGAAGCAAAGGCAACCCUGAAGAGCUCUGUAGUGUCCAUUUUCUGAAGGCUGGAGAUGAUGGUAAAAGCUGUUGCCCUGGAAAUGGGUUUCUUGCUCUUAAUCAUUUAAUUCCACAGUGCCAGAGUGACGAGUGAAGUAAUCAGGGUAUCGAUCCAGGGCAAUCUAUGGCAAUGACACCUGGGUUACAACUCUCUAAAAAUGAAAUAGCUGGACAGCCUAGUAAGGUGCUUAUGAUAUAUUUAAGUAGAAGGAAGAGAGCCUGGGUGAAGCACUUGCUUUACCCUAUUAUCCUCAUCUUUGGCCUCACCUCUCAGUGAUUGUUGAUGCUGCUGAGUGGGAAUCUGGUGGUUCUUGACUCAAACUUGUUUUUCGCUUGCUCAGGCUGAGUUAUGGAGCUCCUUUCUUCCUCUUUGUAGGCUGGAUGCUGGUCUUUUCUUCAACUCCCAUUGCUCUUCCUUUAUGCAGACUGCGCAUUCUUUGUCACUCUUUGGAGCUCAUAUGGUCUUGUGAUUUUUUGAAUCCUAACUUGCGCUGUUCCCUCCUGUAACUUGACUUUUUAAACGCUCUCAAUAUAUAUUGUCAAGUUGGCCCUCCAGAAAGUUAGUAAUUAUUUGCAUUCCCAUAGUGGCAUGUGAGUUACAUUUCUUAAGAGUCCCACUAAAACUGAGUGUUAUUAUUCCUUUUAUAUGUUGUCUAUCAGCCCAAUAUGUGAUCUUUAAGUUUUUUAGUAUUAGUGAAAAUAGAACAUUUCCCUUGUUUAUUGGUUGAGAUUGGCAUUUAACUUUUUAGACCAGUUUUCCACAGCAUGGUCAAAUUUUCAAAAAAUAUAUCAACAUAUAUCAUAUAUAUUCAUAUAUGUAUACAUCUGUAUAUGAUAUAUAUGUAAAUAUUGAAUAGUUUCCACUCUAAUUUGAAGUGACAAUUUACGAUAUGCUAAAUUCUUAUAAACACCUAGGUCUAGUUAUAAACAAUUGUCUCACACAUGUGAAUAGACUAGUAUCACACUAUGUUACUAGUAAUGUUCUCAUUACCUUGCUUUUAAAAAAAUGGUCACAGCUAUUUUCUUACUUCUACAAAGUAAACUUUAUAAUCACUUUGUGAAAUAAAUCCUCCCCAUUGAAUAUCUGAUUAGAAUUUUUCAUUUGUAGUUUAAUGUGUGGAGACUCAAAAUCUCUAUAGUAGUCUUCUCAUUCCAGACACAGCUUUCCUCUUAUUCAAGAUUAUUUUUGAGCAAAGUUGCUAUAUUUACCUUAUCUAAAUUCAUUUAUUAAAUCUAACAGUUUUUCAACGAAUUUUAUUAGGUUGUCAUGAGUCAACCAUAUCAGCAGCAAAUGAUUUUCUCCUCCUUUGGAGUUUUAUCUUGUUACUUCAAUUAGCAUUUUCAGAGUACUAAACAUGGAAUUAACAACAAUUUUAUCUCACUAUUACCUUUAGGCUGAAGCUCAAACUUCUAAAGUGGCUUACAAGACCUCUCAUGAUGUGCCCCUUGAGUCUCUCUGUAGCUUUACCUCUAUGAAAUGAAAGCUCCAUUCUUUCCCAAUGCUGUAUUCUAGUAGAUGAACUUAUGUUUCCUGAACUUGCCAUGCCCUCAUCCCUUUAUAGCUUUGUGCCCCUCGUUUUGCCUUUAUCAUCUCUCCUAACAUUUCCACACUUGCCAGACACAAUCUGGUUAAUCUACACUCUUCAUGUUUCAGCUUAGAUAUCGACCUUUGAUGGUAUAUAGUAAAACUCAAAUAUGUGAUGAUUAAUAUUGAGUGCCAACUUGAUUGGAUUGAAGGAUGCAAAGUAUUGUUCCCGAGUGUGACUGUGAGGGUGUUGCCAAAGGAGAUUAACAUUUGAGUCAGUGGACUGGGAAAGGCAGACCGACCCUCAAUCUGGGUGGACACAAUCUAAUCAGCUGCCAGUGUGGCCAAAAUAAAAGGCAGGAGAAAUUGGAACGACUAGACUGGCUUAGUCUUCCAGCCUACUACUUCGUCCAGUUCCGGAUGCUUCCUACCCUUGAACAUCAGACUCCGAGUUCAGCUUUGGGACUCUUGGACCUUCAACCACAGACUGAAGGCUGCGCUGUCAGCUUCCCUACUUUUGAGGUUUUGGGACUUGGACUCUUAUGUAAAAUUGGGACUUGGCUUCCUUGCUCCUCAGCUUGCAGGCAGCCUAUUGUGGGACCUCACUUUGUGACAGUGUAAAUCAAUACU
rnacentral:lncRNA from 1 species